rnacentral:rRNA from 1 species
UGAGGAAUAUUGGUCAAUGGGCGAGAGCCUGAACCAGCCAAGUCGCGUGAAGGAAGACAGUCCUAAGGAUUGUAAACUUCUUUUAUACGGGAAUAACGGGCGAUACGAGUAUUGCAUUGAAUGUACCGUAAGAAUAAGCAUCGGCUAACUCCGUGCCAGCAGCCGCGGUAAUACGGAGGAUGCGAGCGUUAUCCGGAUUUAUUGGGUUUAAAGGGUGCGUAGGUUGUUCGGUAAGUCAGCGGUGAAACCUGAGCGCUCAACGUUCAGCCUGCCGUUGAAACUGCCGGGCUUGAGUUCAGUGGCGGCAGGCGGAAUUCGUGGUGUAGCGGUGAAAUGCAUAGAUAUCACGAGGAACUCCGAUUGCGAAGGCAGCUUGCCAUACUGCGACUGACACUGAAGCACGAAGGCGUGGGUACCAAACAGGAUUAGAUACCCUGGUAGUCCACGCAGUAAACGAUGAUUACUAGGAGUUUGCGAUAUACCGUCAAGCUUCCACAGCGAAAGCGUUAAGUAAUCCACCUGGGGAGUACGCCGGCAACGGUG